rnacentral:rRNA from 1 species
UACGUAGGGUCCGAGCGUUGUCCGGAAUUAUUGGGCGUAAAGGGCUCGUAGGCGGUCUGUUGCGUCGGGGAGUGAAAACUUACAGCUUAACUGUGAGCGUGCUUCCGAUACGGGCAGACUUGAGGUAUUCAGGGGAGAACGGAAUCCUGAUGUGAGCGGUGGAAAUGACUGCAGACUAUCAGGAGGAACACCGGUGGCGAAGGCGGGUCUCUGGGGCAAUAACUGACGCUGAGGAGCGAAAAGCGUGGGGGAGCGAACAGG